CACGCACCGAGCCCCGGCCGGGCGCCGCGCACACUCGCACCCGCGCUCACACUCACACUCACACUCGCGCGCAGGCCCCGCAGCCGCCGCCGCCGCCGGAAGCGGCGCUCGGCCCGGAUCCCGGCUGGGCUGGAGAAGGAGAGGACCUGGGUGAGAAGCUGCUGCCGCCUGAGCUGGACCAGGACCCGAGACCCCUUUGAUUUUGCUGCUGCGCCAGCCGCCGCCCAGGGGGCCUCCCUGAGACCAGGCCAGGGAUAGAGCCUCGUGGGCUGGAGGGCCCCCUUAGCCCGCAGACAUUGGAGCCAGGUGACAGAUGGGUCUCUUCCUUCCUGCCCCAUCUCUCGCGCUCCCUCCUCAGAGCUUCACUCUCCAGCCUCCCGUGGGAAUCGUCUGAAGUUCUGAGCCCAGAACCGGAGGAGGAAGAGGAGGAGGAGGAGGAGGAGGAGGAGGAGGGAGAGGAAGUUGAGUCUCGAGAGCCUGUGCACCUUCCCAGAAACAGGCGGUGGGGGUGUGUCCCGGUGUGUGUCCCGGUCCCGGUGGCCCACGCCUGCUGCUAGCGCCCCGGAGGACCCCCCACCCCACCCCGCAGUUGGCACCGGCCGUGUCUGCUUCUCCCGGGGCCCCUGUGCCGGGGGUCGCCCCCAAGAUGGUGGCGGCCCCAGGGAGGACUGUGCCGCCAGCCCCAGCCUCCCGCUGCUAGG